GUCUCCAUAGUAUAGUUGCAGUGCGUUCGCUUUGUAAGAGAAAGGUCGUGAGUUCAAUCCUCACUAGAGGCU
rfam:Ipomoea nil DNA, scaffold: scaffold1993, cultivar: Tokyo-kokei standard.